rnacentral:rRNA from 1 species
UACGUAGGUGGCAAGCGUUAUCCGGAAUUACUGGGCGUAAAGCGCACGCAGGCGGUCUUUUAAGUUUGACGUGAAAGCUCCCGGCUUAACUGGGAGAGGUCGUUGAAGACUGGAAGACUUGAGGCAAUGAGAGGGGUGUAGAAUUCCCGGUGUAGUGGUGGAAUGCGUAGAUAUCUGGAGGAACACCGGUGGCGAAGGCGGCGUCCUGGACCAACACUGACACUGAUGAGCGAAAGCCAGGGGAGCAAACGGG